rnacentral:guide_RNA from 1 species
AUAUAAAAACAUCGGGUAAGCUUUAUGGUUAAUAAGUGUAUAAAUGUGAUGU